CUGAUGCAGCAACGCCGCGUGAGGGACGAAGGCCUUCGGGUUGUAAACCUCUUUUAGUAGGGAAGAAGCGAAAGUGACGGUACCUGCAGAAAAAGCACCGGCUAACUACGUGCCAGCAGCCGCGGUAAUACGUAGGGUGCAAGCGUUGUCCGGAAUUAUUGGGCGUAAAGAGCUCGUAGGCGGUUUGUCGCGUCUGCUGUGAAAACUGGAGGCUCAACCUCCAGCCUGCAGUGGGUACGGGCAGACUAGAGUGCGGUAGGGGAGAUUGGAAUUCCUGGUGUAGCGGUGGAAUGCGCAGAUAUCAGGAGGAACACCGAUGGCGAAGGCAGAUCUCUGGGCCGUAACUGACGCUGAGGAGCGAAAGCAUGGGGAGCGAACAGGAUUAGAUACCCUGGUAGUCCAUGCCGUAAACGUUGGGAACUAGAUGUAGGGGCCAUUCCACGGUUUCUGUGUCGCAGCUAACGCAUUAAGUUCCCCGCCUGGGGAGUACGGCCGCAAGGCUAAAACUCAAAGGAAUUGACGGGGGCCCGCACAAGCGGCGGAGCAUGCGGAUUAAUUCGAUGCAACGCGAAGAACCUUACCAAGGCUUGACAUAUACCGGAAACGGCUAGAGAUAGUCGCCCCGCAAGGUCG
rnacentral:rRNA from 3 species